rnacentral:rRNA from 1 species
AUACGGAGGGUGCAAGCGUUAAUCGGAAUCACUGGGCGUAAAGCGCGCGCAGGCGGCCAUUUAAGUUGGAUGUGAAAGCCUACGGCUCAACCGUAGAACUGCAUCCAAAACUAUUUGGCUAGAGUGUGGGAGAGGAAGAUGGAAUUAGUUGUGUAGGGGUAAAAUCCGUAGAGAUAACUAGGAAUACCAAAAGCGAAGGCAAUCUUCUGGAACAUUACUGACGCUGAGGCGCGAAAGCGUGGGGAGCAAACAGGAUUAGAAACCCCAGUAGUCC